GGCCCCCUUUCAGGCCAGGAGGCUGUAUAAAGAUUUCAAAACAAAGCAAAAAGCAACUCCUCAAAACUAAGCAAAAAUAAAAAUUAAAAAAAACCCAGAAAACAACUCUAUCUAAUACUUAACACCCACAAUAGCAAAAAACCAACACCACCGAAGCCAAAUGCUUUAGCACUAGGCAAAGGCAAAGAAGAUACCUAAACCUUCCCCACCAUUUUGCACUCAGAAAACCCACCACCACCGCUUAAACCCUUUUUCUUCUCCACCACCCGAAUGUCAAAUUCCAAAUCAUCAUCGCCACCAUGCCAAAGAAGCUAACCGCCCAGCGCCGGACCCACCCCUUGUGGCGGUGCGCGGC
rnacentral:lncRNA from 1 species